UAGUCUUACAAGGAUAUAGGCAAGGGGC
rnacentral:sRNA from 1 species